rnacentral:rRNA from 1 species
GUGCCAGCAGCCGCGGUAAUACAGAGGGUGCAAGCGUUGUUCGGAAUCAUUGGGCGUAAAGCGCGUGUAGGUGGGUAGGUAAGUCGGGUGUGAAAGCCCCGAGCUCAACUCGGGAAUUGCGCCCGAAACUACUUAUCUUGAGUACGGGAGAGGGAAGCGGAAUUCUUGGUGUAGGGGUGAAAUCCGUAGAUAUCAGGAAGAACACCGAUGGCGAAGGCAGCUUCCUGGACCGAUACUGACACUCAGACGCGAAAGCGUGGGGAGCAAACAGGAUUAGAAACCCGAGUAGUCC